rnacentral:rRNA from 1 species
CCUACGUGAGGCAGCAGUGGGGAAUAUUGCACAAUGGGGGAAACCCUGAUGCAGCAACGCCGCGUGCGUGAAGAAGUAUUUCGGUAUUUAAAGCUCUAUCCGCUGGGAAGAAGAUGACGGUACGUGAUUAAGAAGCAACGGCUAACUACGUGCCAGCAGCGGCGGUCAUCCGUAGGGGGCCAGCGUUAUCCGGAUUUCCUGGGUGUAAAGGGAGCGCAGACGGCAUUGCAAGUCUGGAGUGAAAGCCCGGGGCACAACCCCGGAACUGCUCUUGAAACUGUGCGUCAAGAGUACUGGAGGGGCAGGCGGAAUUCCUAGUGUAGCGGUGAAAUGCGUAGAUAUUAGGAGGAACACCAGUGGCGAAGGCGGCCUGCUGGACAGUAACUGACGUUGAGGCUCGAAAGUGUGGGGAGCAAACAGGAUUAGAUACCCCAGUAGUC